GAGGCACUCUUAUGGACCAGGACUUGCUUCAGUGUGGCUUUGGUGCUCACUGAGUCUGCCCCUUGAGUGUGUCUCU
rnacentral:pre_miRNA from 1 species